UGUGUGUGUGUGUGUGUGCAUAUAUGUGUAACUGUGAAAGCGUGUAUAAUUGUAAAUUGGGUGACGAGUAUAUAUAAUUUGUGGGGAUAUCAAUGCAUGUUUGUGUAGCUAUAUGUUUGCAGAUAACACGAAAUUUCGAAAUCCAACA